rnacentral:rRNA from 1 species
GACGAACGCUGGCGGCGUGCUUAACACAUGCAAGUCGAACGAAGUUGCGAACGGGUGAGUAACGCGUAAUCAACCUGCCCUUCAGAGGGGGACAACAGUUGGAAACGACUGCUAAUACCGCAUACUGAAGGAGGGGAUUGCGUCUGAUUAGGUAGUUGGAGGGGUAACGGCCCACCAAGGCGAUGAUCAGUAGCCGGUCUGAGAGGAUGAACGGCCACAUUGGGACUGAGACAAGGCCCAGACUCCUACGGGAGGCAGCAGGGGGGAAUUUUGCGCAAUGGACGACAGUCUGACGGCGCAACGCCGCGUGAGUGAUGACGGCCUUCGGGUUGUAAAGAUCUGUUAAUCGGGACGCGGUACCGGAAUAGAAAGCCACGGCUAACUACGUGCCAGCAGCCGCGGUAAUUC